GUGGUUUAAAUGUGAAAAAACUCAGAGGGAUUUGCUGCUUAACCUUGCACUGGUGACUCUGCAGCUACAGAACAGGCCUGAUGACCUAACCAGACGGUCUAAGAGCUGUUUUUGUUCAAACAGGCCCCAAAAAACAAACAAAACAAUACAACUUUACCUAAAAUGGUACAAAAUGUAUGGAAGAUUUUUCUUUCUUUUUUAUUUUUAGAAAUGUACAUUUAUGGACUGUAACCAGACAGGAUGAGACAACAGCACAGAAGAAAAGCAGCCAUAAUACCUCGACAAACUCUCCGAUUGCUUCCAUAUUCUCAUUACGAUAACAGACCUGCUGUAAACUAAUAAAAGCUACAUUAAUAGAGACUUCAGUGUGCUCUUCCCCAUAGCUGCACAUUGUAAUUUCCUUCUGUUCUCGGGACCCGGACGUCUAAAAUAAACCCUUUACGUUCACGCUGCCGAGCGAGGCAAGAGUUAUUGUUUCAUCUGCCAACCAGCGCUGCUUGUUUUCCAUCAUAACGGCCUCCACAUCUCUUCCUCCUGUCUUGCAGCAGGAGACCUGUGUAAUUACAUCCAUAGCGUUCUCCUCGCUCCUGUUGAUAUCACCGCUGACAUCCACUUGCACAGCCCCCUCCUCUGCCUCUCUCUCUCUCUCUCUCUCUCUCUCUCUCUCUCUCUCUCUCUCUCUCCCCCUCUGCCUCUCUCUGUCCAUCUCGCUGCAUCCUUGUUUAUCGGAAAGCUCUCGCACUGCCAGUGUGCGGUCCUGCUUCGUCAUGUGUGCAGUGCGUCGGAGCAGAUGGGGAAGCAAAGGAAGCGGCAGAGAUGAGAGAGGAGGAAGAGGACGACGGGCAGCUGAAGACGGAGCUGUUCUCCACGUGAAAAGGCGCAGACGAUGCUGACUGCAUUCAUGAAAUGCACUGGAGUCCUUUUUGUGCAGCCUGUUGUUCAACCCUCAGAGGGCAGCAGGGCUAAUUUCUCCUGACUUGUUAAGCGUCGCCUUAAAGGAGCUACCAAGAAAACCAGAGCAAGCGUUCCCCUCUGCUGGGAAACAUGCAGACAAACUCUCUCAAAUGUGGCUUUGUCUAAAUGUUAUGCCAAGUCUGCAGAGCUAAUCACGAGACUGUUUCUUUUUUUUUUUU